rnacentral:lncRNA from 10 species
AAUGGCGCGAUCUCGGCUCACCGCAACCUCCGCCUCCCAGGUUCAAAUGAUUCUCUAGAGCCACCCUCCCAAAUAGCUGGGAUUACAGGCGCCCACCACCAUGCCCAGCUAAUUUUUUUUUUUUUUUUUUUUGAGACGGAGUUUCACUCUUGUUGCCCAGGCUGGAGUGCAAUGGUGCCAUCUCGGCUCACUGCAACCUCCGCCUCCCAGAUUCAAGUGAUUCUCCUGCCUCAGCCUUCCAAGUGGAUGGGGUUACAGGCAUGCGCCAUCACACCUGGCUAUUUUGUAUUUUUAGUAGAGACGGGGUUUCUCCAUGUUGGUCAGGCUGGUCUCCAACUCCCGACCUCAGGUGAUCCACCUACCUUGGUCUCUCAAAGUGCUGGGAUUACAGGCGUGAGCCACCGUGCCAGGUCUGUAUUGUUAGCAGUGAUGGGGUUUCAUUAAGUUGGCCAGGCUGGUCUCGAACUCCCGACCUCAAAUGAUCCGCCCACCUUGGCCUCCCAAAGUGCUGGGAUUACAGGUGUGAGCCACCGCACCCGGCCUAUUUUUAACAUUUUUU